UCUCAUGUAGUGUAGUGGUUUGAGCAUUGGACUACUACUCUGGAGAUCAGAGUUCGAUUCCCUGCUUGGCCA